CAGAAGGAGGAGAAGCGAGGGGAAAAGUUGCCACACACACACCCCCGGGGAGGGCGAGGGAGGGAGAAAAGGGGGGAGGGAGAAGGAGCUAGGGGGCCACAACCACCACAACUCUGGGAGAGAAGAGAAGAGAAAGGGACAGAAGGGGGGAAAGGAGGUGAGGGUGAGAGAGCGAGCGAGCGCAAAAGGGGCGAGCGAGAGAGGCGCUCUGGAGAGAAACGCACAAAAGUGUCCCGCAAGUCGAAAUAUUCUGGAAAGAAAGAAAUGCUUGCUACAGAAAUGUGGAUGGUUCAGGAUAACUUCACUUUCGCCCCAAAGGAUAUCGUUUGAAGCCGAGCUUGUACCAGUUCAGGGAAGGUAUUUUCUUCCCUCCCUCUGCCCCCUCCUGGCCCCUCCCUUCCCCUUCCCCCUCCUUCCGUGGCCCCGACGAUAUCCCUGUGAAUGGAAACUAAUAGAGAGAGUGGUCUCAAGGCUCACCAUCUAUUACUUAACAAAAAUCGGCACAGAAGACAGAGUCCCCUGCAGUAGGAAAUGCAGUUUUGAGAAGAGCUAUAAGGUUGCAGGAGACAGUGAGGAAAUACAGAGUAGCUGUUGCAGCAAAAGUCCCGGUGAAUACCUGGGUGACAACAGGCACUUUAGCCUGAAGAUGAGGGCAUCCUAUUUGGUUAAAAGGGACAGUGACAAGGAAAUGCUUCUGUUGAAACAGGGAAACAUAAAAAUGUACUUUCAAAUCUGUGGUUUAAAAACGAAGAAUAAAUCUGUAGAAAGGUGGACUUAG
ensembl:lncRNA